GGCACAAUGAUGCAACUGGCAGACAUCCUGGACUUAAAAUCGAGGUUUUUGGUGGGUUCGAGUCCCCCUUGUGCUACUA
rnacentral:tRNA from 1 species